UAAAAGAAAGAAUAUCUAGACAUAAUAAUGUAUAUCACAUCUGACAUGUUACUGCAACCACUUUACUUUUACACAUAGUAUAUAGCCCAGUAAUCUGUCACACUGCAAUCACAGUUUGACAGAAAACAUUGCACAGGAUCUAUUAUCACCAUGUCUCAAGUUAACAACAUUUCCAGUCUGAAUGGAAGAACUCUUUAUAAAGAAACUAAUUAACCAAUAGAUUUUUAAAAGAUACACAGAAUUGAGAGAGAAAUUCCACAUAAGCGCAGACAUGGCAGUGUGGUAAGAAGCUUACUUCCCAACGGCAUGGGUUUGAGCUCAAUCCCACUGCAUGGCACUUUGGCCAAGUGGCCAAGUGGCUUUUACUACAGCCCCAGGUAACCAAAGCCUCGUGUGUGGAUUUGGUUGAAGGAAACUCAAAGAAGUCUGCCGUGUGUGUGCACAUAUGCAUAUAUGUUUUUGUGCUUGUUCCCCACCACUACUAGAUAACCAGUUUUGGUUUGUUUAUUCUGAUAACUCAGAGGUUUGGCAGGUACAAGGCUGCAUAUAUUUUUUGUAGUAGUGAUAGAGAGUAAUAGUUUAUUAGAUCAAAUUCAAUAGUUGACUGCUACUUAUUUAUCAAACCUGGAAAAAUUAAAUGUAAAAACUGAUGUCAUAUACUGACCUCACCAGAAAAUGAGACACACCUAAAUAUUACAAUGUAUUUUGUUUUGUGUUUGAACAAGUAAUAUUAAUAAUGUAACUCGAAUUCAUAAUAAUAAUGUAACUCAAACUAUUUUUAUUGCAGCAGAUGAUACUAAAAUUUAAAUGAUAAUAUGUCAAUGGAAUAGAAAAUAAUGGAAAGACCAGGAAAAUAAAAACAGGAUAAAUAAUGUCAGUCGUUUGACCGUGGCCAUGCUGGAGCACCACCUUUAGUUGAACAAAUCAACCCCAGGACUUAUUUUUUGUAAGCCUGGUACUUAUUCUAUCAGUCUCUUUUGCUGAACUGCUAAGUUACGGGGACAUAAACACACCAGCAUCAGUUGUCAAGCAAUGAGCUGAAAAUACUUCACCCAGCAACCUCUACAAAGCUCAAACAAGUAUUACUUCCACAUCUGGGACAGUGCUGCUGUUUCACACAUAAACAUCCCAAUGCCAUCCAGAGAAAGGCCGCUCAACUGAUUGGUAUAAAGUUACUCACACAUACUUCAGUUUCUGGUUUAUAGAUAUACUGUCUUCUCUCUCUGCCUUUUCUGUUGCUGCUACAAUGGCCUCAGCUUCUCAGAGCUAUCUGUGCUCAUGCUAUUUAACCUAUUUAACUCAGCUCAUUAGUCUCUCAUCCUCUCAUUACUCAUGCUGUGUUCACAUUCCCCUUACAUCCUGCUUUAACCACAAUAACCAGUCCUUCCUCCUCAGAAUGUUGGUGCCUUGCAAUUAUCUUCCUGUAAAUCUUUCCUGCAUUGGUUGACAUGUAACAGUUUAAGCAGAUUAUUAAGUAUCAAUCUCAUCAGUCAUGGAAGGCAUUUGAAGGAUGUGUGCACUGUUCCUUCCUCCAAACCUAGCUAAUAAUCCUUUCUUCUAAAGGAACAAAACCUGAAAUUUAGUGAGGAGGGGACUAGGGUACUUAAUUUAUCGACCCUGAAAAGAUGAAAGGCAAAAUCAACCUCAGUGAUGGGCGAAAUACAGCUAAGCAUUUCAUCCAGCGUGUUAAUGAUUCUGCCAGCUCGCCACCUUACACCAAGCUAAUAAUAAUCAUAAUAAUAAUAAUAGAGUAUCAGUAAUACACUGGGUUGAUUCAUACCUAUUGUUGAACAGAAACAGGGCAUAGGAUUUUGCCAAAGGAAAUCUGUUGCUUAUCUUUAUCUCAACUAACUGAAUAAAUCUAUGAUCAAAAGUAAUCCAGCCUUGACUUCCAUCUCUUUUUCAAGUAUACAAUGUCUUUGACUACAUUAUGCAAUGCAUUUCUUUUUUAAGACUUAGCAGUUAUUUCAAAGAGUCCUUAUUUCUCCUUUAAGGUUAAAAACAAGUACCAAUCAAGUAAUUAAAAAUCAUCAUUUGAUCAGAAGUUGAUAUUUGCAUUCUAUUCUUCUGAACAAUUAAUAAAAUACCAGUCAAGUUAUGAAGAUUAAUUAAUUAUAAUAGGCACACAACAUACUUCUAUAAAAUCUACA